UGAUUUCCUUCGGGACUGAUUAUUUUGUGACUGAGUGGCGGACGGGUGAGUAACGCGUGGGUAACCUGCCUUGUACAGGGGGAUAACAGUUGGAAACGGCUGCUAAUACCGCAUAAGCGCACGGCAUCGCAUGAUGCAGUGUGAAAAACUCCGGUGGUAUAAGAUGGACCCGCGUUGGAUUAGCUAGUUGGUGAGGUAACGGCCCACCAAGGCGACGAUCCAUAGCCGACCUGAGAGGGUGACCGGCCACAUUGGGACUGAGACACGGCCCAAACUCCUACGGGAGGCAGCAGUGGGGAAUAUUGCACAAUGGGCGAAAGCCUGAUGCAGCGACGCCGCGUGAGCGAAGAAGUAUUUCGGUAUGUAAAGCUCUAUCAGCAUGGGGAGAUAAUGACGGUACCUGACUAAGAAGCACCGGCUAAAUACGUGCCAGCAGCCGCGGUAAUACGUAUGGUGCAAGCGUUAUCCGGAUUUACUGGGUGUAAAGGGAGCGCAGGCGGUGCGGCAAGUCUGAUGUGAAAGCCCGGGGCUCAACCCCGGUACUGCAUUGGAAACUGUCGUACUAGAGUGUCGGAGGGGUAAGCGGAAUUCCUAGUGUAGCGGUGAAAUGCGUAGAUAUUAGGAGGAACACCAGUGGCGAAGGCGGCUUACUGGACGAUAACUGACGCUGAGGCUCGAAAGCGUGGGGAGCAAACAGGAUUAGAUACCCU
rnacentral:rRNA from 1 species